CGUCUUCAGAGUGUUGGUGCUCUGCCUUUCAGCAGCAGCAACACUUCAGCGAAGUGGGCGGUUUUGUUGGGACAACGGAAUCCGCUCAUCUGAAGGUAAGCUCUGACUUAUUCACGAGGUUGUACCACUGAUCAAGUGGCAUGACGUACCUAUAGGUUUUAUUCAUGAGCUCCAAAUGAAUUUGUGGCUAAAUUAUGAUUUUCUAGAUUCUUAAUGUCCAAGUACAUUACAAACCUGAAGUCAAAACACAAGCUAACGAUAAACUGACAAAAUUAGAUAGUGUAUAGAUUCCUAGAUUGAGUAUAAUCUGAGGAUUAUUGCAGGGGUGUUUUAACCACGUCACCAGAUUUUUUAAACAUGCAUGUCUACUAGGUCUCCACUACAUAAAGUAACAACAACAAAAUAAAUAAAUGGCUUUUCAAUUAUCAAUCUUAAAAGAAUAAUAGAAGCAUUGAUUUUCAAUAUUGAAACUAAAAUCAGUUCCGGUUUUAGCAAAUUCAAAUUAGGAUUGUGAGUUCUUUUAUCUUCAGCUUUCGUUUGUCUAAGUGGACACUACAACCCUAAACUCUAAAAUCAGAUAGGCUUGGCUCAACUCCUAAACCGGAUAAAGUCCCUAUAAGAUUUUAAUUUAAUAUUUAUUUUGACUCAGCGGUUCUAAGAUUUCAAUUGAAUAUUGACAUUGCGAUGAAUCGGAAGCUGAAAUUGGCUUUCAUUUUUGUACUGAAAUGGAUGUGGUAUUUUUUUAUUACUAAGAUACCUCCACUUGUUUUCAAAAUGGAUUUUGAUUUUUCACUGAAACUGAUGGAUAUGAUUUUCUACUAAAAUGAAACCAUUCUUUUUCGGGGUAUAUGGUAUUGAUAUUAAAUUGUGGUACUGAAAUUAUGAUCUGGUCUACCGAAUUUGUGGUAGUGAAACUGGGAAUUGGACGAGCGCUCUUCUACUCAGCUACUCGGACAUGCCCUCAAGGUCUCAGCUCAUGAGCCUCCCACUCUUCCUUGUGAAGCAGCAAAUGCAACAUACCUAAAGGUGAAUAGAGUAUUUAUUUGUACUAUAAAUGUCAUAAGAAAAAGUUGACUAUAGGCUGGUUAUAGUUUACCCAUGAUUCAUCAUGUCAUUCUUAGGUGCAUAAACUAAGGUGUACAUAAUUUAUUUUGUGGAGGAAGAAUGUGGCAACUUAAACAGUAUUACAUGUGAUGCCAUGUCGCUGCAGGGAAGCAUUCGCACACUCACGUUUGGCAUGUUCCAUAAGCAGACCUGUCGUCAUUGGUUGAGGUAAGCAAUGUUUCUUGCUUUCUCAUAUAUUUGUUUUUAUUCACUAAGUUUGACUUUGUACUUGGGAAGUCAAAUCACUAUUUCUGUUCAAGGUUGUCAUGAAAAUUUCAAAAAUGGAAUGGAAUGAAUUAACAGUGCGCUUCUGCAUUUUUUGGUUUAGAUGUUGCAAGGCUGCGAGGUGAGGGCAGACGGUGCACGUCAUCACUGCCGCUCUCUCCUGUCUCUGUUUUUCUCUUUGCUGAAGAAAUUUCACACAACCAGGAGCAGUGAAUAGGGUUACAGUUUGUGAACUGAGAUGUUUGUGUAGUUGCUGCACUUUUAUAACUACUUCUGAUUAGUUGCGGAUGCAAUGAUGUUUAGCUGAUGUGAAAUAUUUUUGACUAGAAUCCUUGAUCAUGUAUUUGUUCCAUUUUUAAAUUGAUUUAUUAUGCUUCAUACACACCAGAGACAAUUUCAUCUAAGGAAAAUCAAGGUCUGAUUGAAAAAAAAUUAAGUUCUUGGCACAAUUAACAUUGGAUGACCCGGCUUGCUAUAUUAUGAACAUGCUUGCUUUAAAUUAUUAGUUAAUUGAAAUAAUUUAUAAUUUUAUCUAUGUAGUUGCAUCCACCAUAUUUUGAUAAAAUUUACAAAUGUCAGAUUUUGUUCUUUAGCAUAGGUUCAUGAAUGCCAAGCGCAUCCUAUCAACAUCAUCAAACUUUGGGCUCUGGCAGUUUGCUCUGUUUGUGAGGAUGGGUCAGUAGUGCGCUCACCAAGUGGACAGCGGUAGAAGCAACACUCAAAAGGAGCGACACAACAAAGACAGAGGACGACAUCGAGCGGAGGUGAGCCACUACCAAUUUAUCAUGAAAGACUUCUGCCUCAUGUGUUACGUCUGAUUGUUUGAACUUUGUUGUUAUCAAGCUAAAGGUCUUGUGGUUUGUGCGGAUGAUUUUCUUUCAUAGCCUAAAAUAUUUUCCCUUAAUAUUUCUGAAAUUAUUAUUUGUACAUUAUUUUCUGAUAUUUACCUCCUAUUUUGCAGGCUAUAUAGAAUGAUUGCAGGUUUUAACCAAGAAGUCCUCAAUAGGUGGACUGGCUCAAAAUGGAGAAGCAUGCUGGUAGCUUUUCUGUUGAUUGUAUUAAGCAUUUAAGUUCGUAGCAAUUCAUAACGUCAAAUCAUUGGGAUGCUUUGUAAUAUUUUAGAAAACUGUGUUUCUUUGCCGGAUCUAGCGUGCUGUCUAUAGAUGUGCUUACCUAUUUCCUUCUCACAUAUGGAAUGGGUUUUCGGAUAGCCUAGACAUACGAGACAAUUUGGGGGUGUCGAUUCUCUCUCUCUCUCUCUCUCUCUCAUAGAAUAAUGAACAACCAAUAAGACUAAUAUUAUAUACCUUCUCAUCA
rnacentral:lncRNA from 1 species